AUAUGCACAAACACUGUGCUAAAUGCUACUUAUCCAGAAAUAAGCAUGUGCGUUUCCUCAAGAAGUGUGCAAUUUAGAGGAAAAGUCAGAAAAGCUAACCAGCAAGUACAAUACAAUCUGUGUGGAGAUUUUAGAACUUGAAGACUGCCUAAAGUGUUUCCAUUUCAACUAUGCUUAAAUCCUAUUUACUUCCUAAAGAUUUGUGAAAGGAUAAAGACAGACUUUCACUCUG